AAAAUAUUCGGCACACCGCAAGCAAAAGAAGGUAAAAGUUAAGACAAGCAGAAUUAACACAAAGUAAAUUAGAAAUGCUAAAAGACAUAAUUUUUUUAUAAGACGGGUUAACUGAAUAAUAAACAGUGCUGGAAACAAAAAGGUACUAGUCAAGGAGCAAAAUCAACAUAAAUUCAACAGGAAUGUUGCAAAUAAAAAAAGGGAAGAAUUAAGGAGAUUUUUUAUAAUACAUGAGAAGUUGCUGCAGAAAUCCAUCUCUCAAAAUGUUAAAACCACAAACAGCUGAAGUCUCCCCAAAGUCACUUCAUAAGCAAAAGGUAUAUAUCUCCUCAAGCAAAGGUUCCACCCAAAAUUAAAACGAUCACAAUCUCUCCACAGCAAUAAUUAUAGGAC